CCAGCAGCUGCGGUAAUUCCAGCUCCAAUAGCGUAUAUUUAAGUUGUUGCAGUUAAAAAGCUCGUAGUUGGAUUUCGGGCGGGUGACGGCGGUCCGCCUCUGGUGUGCACUGCUGCUCAUCCGCCUUACUGUCGGGGACGGGCUCCUGGGCUUCACUGUCCGGGACCCGGGUUCGACAUGGUUACUUUGAGUAAAUUAGAGUGUUCAAAGCAGGCGUUCGCCCUGAAUACAUUAGGAUGGAAUAGAACGAUAGGACUCUGUCCUAUUCUGCUGGUCUGUAGGACCAGAGUAAUGAUUAAUAGGGACAGUUGGGGCUAUUCGUAUUCCAUUGUAAGAGGUGAAAUUCUUGGAUUUCUGGAAGACGAAAUACUGCGAAAGCAUUUAGCGAGGAUGUUUUCAUUAAUCAAGAACGAAAGU
rnacentral:rRNA from 1 species